rfam:Camelus ferus unplaced genomic scaffold scaffold1066, whole genome shotgun sequence.
GAGGGUAUAGCUCAGUGGUAGAGUGAUGCCUAACAUGCACAAGGUCCUGGGUUCAAUCCCCAGUACCUCCA